rnacentral:rRNA from 1 species
GACGAACGCUGGCGGCGUGCCUAAUACAUGCAAGUAGAACGCUGAAGGAGGAGCUUGCUCUUCUGGAUGAGUUGCGAACGGGUGAGUAACGCGUAGGUAACCUGCCUGGUAGCGGGGGAUAACUAUUGGAAACGAUAGCUAAUACCGCAUAACAUUGACUAUUGCAUGAUAGUCAAUUGAAAGGUGCAAUUGCACCACUACCAGAUGGACCUGCGUUGUAUUAGCUAGUUGGUGGGGUAACGGCUCACCAAGGCGACGAUACAUAGCCGACCUGAGAGGGUGAUCGGCCACACUGGGACUGAGACACGGCCCAGACUCCUACGGGAGGCAGCAGUAGGGAAUCUUCGGCAAUGGACGGAAGUCUGACCGAGCAACGCCGCGUGAGUGAAGAAGGUUUUCGGAUCGUAAAGCUCUGUUGUAAGAGAAGAACGAGUGUGAGAGUGGAAAGUC